AUUGAACGCUGGCGGCAGGCCUAACACAUGCAAGUCGAACGGUAACAGGAAACAGCUUGCUGUUUCGCUGACGAGUGGCGGACGGGUGAGUAAUGUCUGGGAAACUGCCUGAUGGAGGGGGAUAACUACUGGAAACGGUAGCUAAUACCGCAUAACGUCGCAAGACCAAAGAGGGGGACCUUCGGGCCUCUUGCCAUCGGAUGUGCCCAGAUGGGAUUAGCUAGUAGGUGGGGUAACGGCUCACCUAGGCGACGAUCCCUAGCUGGUCUGAGAGGAUGACCAGCCACACUGGAGCUGAGACACGGUCCAGACUCCUACGGGAGGCAGCAGUGGGGAAUAUUGCACAAUGGGCGCAAGCCUGAUGCAGCCAUGCCGCGUGUAUGAAGAAGGCCUUCGGGUUGUAAAGUACUUUCAGCGGGGAUGAAGGGAGUAAAGUUAAUACCUUUGCUCAUUGACGUUACCCGCAGAAGAAGCACCGGCUAACUCCGUG
rnacentral:rRNA from 1 species